rnacentral:tRNA from 1 species
CAGAAGUGACUUGUUUGGUCUCUGAUUCUUGCACUCAGGCACAAGACAACCUGACAUUUCAGGAGAUGGUCUGUCAGAAUUGGAUCUCUGAGUGGGGUGGCUCUUGAUAGGGAUCCCUGUUAACUGUGACUAGAAUCCUGAGAAGAGAAAAACCUUCCUGAAAUGGGCAUAUCCCUGGCUGGCCUGGAACCAACCUUUCGGACUUAGGACUAUGGGAAGAAUAGGGGGAGAUUCUCUAGUGAUGAUAAUACAUGAAUGCUUUAAAAGCUAGAACAGGCGUCCCUGGGUGGUCUUGAACUACUCACCGUUCGGUUAAUAGCCGAACGCUCUGACCGAUUGCGCCACAGAGACAGGUACUAGCGAUUCCACUGGGCGCUAUAGGCAGGGCGCACUCACCGAACUCCCCAAUCCCUUCCAGCCUCAGAGCCCGCCUGGCAGGACUACUGAGCAAGGCCUUGGAAAAUCGGAGCGAUUAGAGCGGUUCAAACAAUACAGAAGUGUAUAAAGUAAGAAUUGAAAGUCUCUUCGCUGCUCUAAUCUCACUCCUCAGAGGUGAUCACUGCUGUCUUGUUGAUGGGGGUGCACCCUGACGAAUGGUGUGCUGGCAAAGAUUUAACAAAAGGCUCCAGAGGAGGGCAGACUUGAAGUGGAGCCUUCAGUGGGCAGUGUGAAGGGUGCUGAUUUCAAACAACUCAUCUGGUAUGACUGAACAUGAAGUUGGGAAGAGAUGUGCAUAAUUGAAGUGGGUGAGAGCCAGUCCAGCACCCUGCAGAGAGUGUGGAAGAUGAUCAAAGUAUGACAUUUCUUCUACCCCAGAGGCUGGCAUUUCUGCAGGCACAAAUGAGCUUGGUUUUCAAGCACUGCUCUUUGAACACAAGGAAUUCCUUUAAUGAUCACGCCGGACUAUAUAGACUUUGGAAUCAGACUCUUUGAAUUCCAGCUCUGCCAUUUACCAACUUUGACACUUUGGACAACGUCUCAUUCUGUCACCCAGGCUGGAGUGCAGUGGCACAAUUAUAGCUCACUGCAGCCUCAAACACCUGGGCUCAAGCAAUCCUUCCACCUCUGCCUCCUGAGUAAUUGGGACUACAGGGUUUUGGAAAUCUGGAUUGUAGCAGGGCAUUGUAAGUUAAAAAAUCAUCUUCCCAUUCUGUUCUUUGCAAAGAUAUUUCUGUUCCUUAAAUUUGUUGAGGGUAAGAGAUUGCAGAUUGCUUCUGUGGACUUCUUGAAGGUGGAUCUGCCUGUUGGUGGAGAACCCUAGACUGCAUGCAGCCAUGCACAUGAUCUGGAGACACAGCAGGUCAUCCUCAGCAUUUAUACUCUCUCUCCUUUUGUGCCCCCAUGGACCAAGUUAAGAAGGUGUAGGCUUCAAAUCUUAAGAUCGGUCACCACAAAAUUCAAAAAGACAAGGUCUUUGUCUGUUGCUCAGGAUGGAGUGUAGUGGUGCCAUAGCACACUGUAAUCUUGAAUUUCUGGACUACUGGCAUACACCACCAUGCUUAGGUUCGGGCCACAACAUCCGUGACUUUACCGGUUUUGGUCUCUUCCUUGUAACUUUCGGCUCCAGGAUGCUGCGCAGCUCCUCUCUGCACUAUCUAUCAGAACGUUGCUCUGCGUGCUUGAAAGUUUCGCCAAACAGAAGUACACAAAAACAAACAGAGGCGAAACACAAAUCCCCUCAGCCCUGGAGGAAAAGGCCUUGAAGCUCUUCCAGUGCAGAGGCCACGCAGAGGACAUGCUCCUACCUGUGCACAUCGGCCACGCCUGGGGUGCCUCCUGGAGUCCAGGCUGCUGGCGAUGGAAUCCAUCAUGUUGCUGAUGUCACUGUAUUCUGCACAUCUCUCAGGAAACCCAGAUGAAAUUGAGUGCCUGCUGCCCACAUCAGCAACCCAGACAUCCCACUUGAUUCUGCUUCUGGAGCCUAAGAUGGGAAAAUGGCAGGUGUCGCAGGUUGCAGGGGAAGGUCGGAGACCAGUUGAGGGCCCCGGAGUCUGUCUGGAAAGAGUUUUCCAUCCAGCCCGUCUCGGUUUCCGCAUCCGUGUGAGUCCUUUAUGACGUCGGGAAUGCCAAGGUCUGAGUCCUUUAUGAUGUUCAGGGUGCCCCGGUCUCACCCCGGGAGCCUCCUCGCUCCGGCCUGCUCCUGGCUACCCGGUGGGCGGCUCUGGCCCCAGCGACCCGCUACUGUUUCUCCAUGCGCUGCCACUUCGCAAAGGCACAUCUCUAGGUCAGUGGUCAGCUGCAGCCAGGGCGCUGCAACUCGCUCCAGGACUCGGGAAUCAGGGCCUUGGUGGGCCUCGCAGAGUGCUGGGUGUGUCGCCUGCGGGCUCCUCUUUUGGAGAAAGGAGGGAGGGAAAGGCCUUGUGAGACGACUCCAGGAGCGACCAGCGACCCCCACAAGGCCCAAGUCCUCCCAGCGCACUCAGAAACAGUCACUUAAAUGGCAAUAAGGUUGAGAAAGACUCUCCCGUGCCCCCGUGCUGGUGUAGUGGCUGUGAUUCAGUCCUUUCACCACCGCAUCCCGGGUUCGAUUACCGGUCAGGGAGUUGUUUUGCACUGACUGCCCACCCGCAGUAAUCUUUCUUUACUCCGCUGUCAGCCGGCCUGCUCCAAGAGCCAGAGGCAGAAGAGUCUCCCUGCAAGGUGCAAACCCUGGCGAAGGAGGGCAAGUCCUGGUGGACGGCCUCUCAUGACACACCCUCUUAUUUAUCUCCGUGUCCACCAUUCGCAGAAGGGGCUUUAGAGAGCGACUGAGCGUCUCGCUCAGGUGUACACCACCGUGCAGAGAUGGCAGCUCUCCUGGAGGUGUACCCAAGAAGCCCACCAUCUUUGCCGCCUCCGCCAUCCCAGAGGCGCCGAUUGGGCUGAGCUGCAAAUAACUAAGAGAGAGAGAGGCCAAGCCAAGUCGUGGCGUUUGUGUGCGGCACACGUCGUCAGCUGACACAGGCGGUCAGCUGAGCCUCCUCACCUCAGUUCGCAGCUAACAUGCUUCUUAGGCCUUCGGAAGAGGCGACAGGAGGCGAUGGCCGCGAGGUUGGGAGGGGGGUGAGCGGCGGGUGAGGUCCUCCAGGACCGCCCAUUUAUUGACUGGGUGGUACAGGAGGGCGAUGUUCGCUUACCCAACAACGACAGCAGGUGGAGUAGGCACUAAUGGAAAACUGUGGCCGGUGCCCUAAGCAGAAGGCAGGUGUAAAAAUCACUAGGACAUCAAAGGGAUAGUACCACAGUCAAAUCCCGCAAUGUCUGUCUACACUCUACCAAGCAAUUGUGCACCCUCCCCCUUUUCCAUUCAGUACUCCCAAGAAGGGUUGGGACGAACCCUGUGUCCACUGUAAAGCUCAGGGGAGAGCGGGAGCGAGGGAGGUGAAGUGCACAGACUGGGCAGAGGCGGCGGGCAGAACUGCGGGGGUGAGAGGGCGCGGUGGCUGCGGGGCGGGAGCCUCUGCUGAAAGGAGGCCUGGGUUGUCCUGUGGGUGACUGUUGGUGGAAUCUUUGGCAGCGAGUGGUUGGAAGAAUGGCGACGGGCGAGCAGAGGGGAAGGUGGUGACCCUGAGCGUCUGGCUAGGGGAGAGGAGGCUGUACUGACACUCGUCUCCUCUUACCUGGCGAGGGACAGACCGUGGUCAAGAAGGGAGCUCUCCCUGGUUGAGGCUAGUCCACCACACUCCAGCUGCUCUGACCCCUGCGAUUUCCCUACACGCGGGGCGCUUGUCUGCGGUGGUGUUUGCGCUACCCGGGGGCUGGGUUCACGCAGGCUCCUGACAGUCCUUGGCUCACCGCCCCCGACGCGGAUAUCGCCGCUAGAGACCCUUCCGCCACCCUCCUAGGGAUCUUGAGGGCCUUCCUUGUUGUUCCGACUGAAGCUCACGAACAGACAGAUGUGAGCUCUCUGUCUUUUACACGUUGAAUUUGGCUAUUGGCAAAAAAAGCCCUGACCCAGAGCUUGGGACUCCUCCCGGCCUGCACACGACUUCCCGACUCUUGCCUCCUAGCGCGGCUCUUGGCUAGCGGGCGGGCAGCCUCCACCCAGCGUAGAACCGCGGCAGCCGCAGCCCCCGCAGGCUGGCGGUCAGACACUAGCAGGAAAAGGGACACAAGGCCUGCGUGGUGGGAAAGCAUGGGAGACGUCGCUUUCCCACCAGGCGAGAAGGUCUCCCUACAGUCUUUGGACAGAAGAUGGAGGGAGGCACCCCUUCCAGGAGCAAGGCGGCUGCUCCUGAGGCCUGGCUCCGCACGGAGGCUCCUGGGUCCCGCGCGCCCUCUCCCUACCGGUUAUAGCCAGAGCUGCUUCACACAUCUCAGCCGGCUUCCUCUUCCGCCUCUGCCACCUCUUCCUCCCCAGCUCGUGGGAAAGACCUAGCCUCCUCUCCAACACUUGGAGAGGGAGUUGGAUGAACGUCUCCUAACCCCAGUAGGACAGAGAUCCUGAGGUAGGAGGGGACCCCUUGCCUUGCUGCUUCUUUUGGCACCGCUGACCCGGGCCCAGGACUCCUCGCUCCUCCUGGAAGGCCUGGGUCGUGUAGCCCACAGAGGUGGCCACGUGGGCAUCUCCCCCACUGCUCCUCAUAGAACCGGAGGCAUUAUCCUGCCGGGCCCACUCUUACCCAUGAAAGAAACUUGGGAAAUGCUCCCGGGGAAGCCGGGGAUCUGGGCGCUCGACCACUUCGGUGUGAAUCUUCCGUCCGCUCAUCCUUCCUUCGGAGGGUCUUGGGGAGAGGAGAAAUGCUCAAGGACGAUGCGCUUUGCAGCGUCUCAAGGGAAACUAGAUCUCAACGGAUACCAGAAGUCUGGAGCGUCUUCCUGGAGGAAGGCGGCCCGAGGCCUGCGGUUGCAGGGAGGCUUGCGGAGCACAGCGCCCUCUCUCAGCCUGAGCUAUCCAGUGGCUUCCAGCAUCCCAGCUGGCCGACUCCACUUCCUCUCUCUUCCUCCUACUGCGGGUCUUCUUCUUCUCUUUGGGGACCGAAUCUCGCUCUGUCGCCCAGGCUGGAGUGCAGUGGCGCGAUCUCGGCUUACUGCAACCUCCGCCUCCCGGGUUGAAGCGAUUCUCCUGCCUCAGCCUCCCGAAUAGCUGGGACUACAGGCGCGUGCCACCACGCCCGGCUAAUUUUUUGUAUUUUUAGUUGAGACGGGGUUUCACCCUGUUAGCCAGGAUGGUCUCGAUCUCCUGGCCUCUUGAUCCGCCCGCCUCGGCCUCCCAAAGUGCUGGGAUUACAGGCGUGAGCCUCCGCGCCCGGCCUACUGCGGCUCUUCUAUCCUGGUGUUCUUUGAAUGCCUAUCUUCCUUUUGUGCCACAGAACCUCUCACGCCCGCCACAGGUUGCUCAUUUCCUUGGUUGUUCUGAACUUUAAAUAAGUUAAUGUAUGUAAGAGUGCCAUAAAUGCUCAGUAAUUGACAUCUGUUAUUUUCAUCAGUAACAUCAUCUGAAUCAUCUGUAUUGUCUAUUUUUAACAACUGCAUUUUUCAUUGUCCAAAUAAAGUCACAUACAUUUGAACAUUAUAUAAUGAUUGAAUAAUAAAAUUAUUCUGCUAUUUUACAAUAAAAA